rnacentral:lncRNA from 1 species
AGCUGGGCCAGCCCAUUCAAACCGCAAGGAGUUUCAAAUGGCUGUGUCCCCUAGGGAUUGGGCCUAGCUCAACCAGGGGAAAAGUCAGCAUUCAAAUGGCUUCGAUGACGCAGAGGAAGCCAAGAGGACGCUGUCAAGGCCUAGUCAUCACUGACUCGCAAUUUCACUGGAUCAUCUCAUGGGUACCAAACCUUCCUCUGCCACCUUGAUGAGCCCCACUUCCUCCCCUCGGAGCAGAAGGACACUUGGGACUACAAGCUGCUUGUAUAAUUUCUUCGUUGCUCAUUUUGUUUCCCAGUCUUGGGAUUUUGUGUGCUUCAGCUUUCUCCCUCCCUCCCUCCCUCUCUUCCUUCUCCUCUCCCCAACUCCUACCCCAGGAAUUCACUCUGUAGGCCAGGGGAGAAGAGUCUGAGAUACAGGCUCCCAGUCCUCUCCUCAAAUCACCAUUAAGAAAUCACUCCUCUCGUAGCCUGAUUCUUCUUCCCGGGAAGCAAUAAUUCGGAGUGGGAUAAGUCAGAAAUGCUGGGGCAGAGGUUCUUCCACAAGGAAGAACUGUCAGGAGUGAGGGAGAGUCUUUACAGAUCCUAAUAAUAUGCAUAAAGCACACGAUGCUUGGCACAUAAUAGACAUCAAGUAAAAGCUCUUAGCUGG